rnacentral:rRNA from 1 species
CCUACGGGUGGCAGCAGUGGGGAAUAUUGGGCAAUGGACGCAAGUCUGACCCAGCAACGCCGCGUGAAGGAAGAAGGCUUUCGGGUUGUAAACUUCUUUUAUGAGGGAAGAGGAGAAGACGGUACCCCCUGAAUAAGCCACGGCUAACCAAGUGCCAACCGCCGCGGUAAUACCGAGGGGGCAAGCGUUGUCCGGAUUUAGUGGGUGUAAAGGGUGUGUAGGCGGGCCGACAAGUCAGAUGUGAAAUCCGCGGGCUUAACCCGGGAACUGCAUUUGAAACUGUAGGUCUUGAGUGCCGGAGAGGUAAUCGGAAUUCCGUGUGUAGCGGUGAAAUGCGUAGAUAUACGGAAGAACACCAGUGGCGAAGGCGGAUUACUGGACAGUAACUGACGGUGAGGCGCGAAAGCGUGGGGAGCAAACAGGAUUAGAUACCCUAGUAGUC